AGUUGCAAAGAUAGUUAUGAGUUGAUGUCAAACAUUUAUGGACAGGGUUGUAUGUUUUAACAAUGACAUCUCCACUAGUUUUAUCCUUACUUGCACACAACAACCAAGGACAAGUCUCUUUACAACAUCUCACUCUAACUCUGCCAGGCUCAUUCACAUAUUUUUCAAUUUGAAUGUGUUCUUGGACUGCAUAUCUUGUCACUGCCACUCUAAAUUCUUCAAUAGUUCCAAAAACCAGUCCUAAUUCCCAAACAAUCUUUUCAGAAGUUGCAUCAAACAUAACUCUAUUUGGGGUUUUCUUCCUCCUAACAGGUUUAUGCACUACUUGAUCAACCUCUUCACCAUCUCCCCAACCUGUUUCAUCAUCUAUUUCAAAGCUAGGAGCUUCAUCACUUAGAUAGUAAGGUUCAUCACCUCCUAGCUUACCAACUAAGCUUUCCCUAAUACCAAUAUUUGUCUCAUCAUACCCUAUAUCUGGACCUUUUUCAUCAACAUUAAUCUGAUAUGAA
rnacentral:lncRNA from 1 species